rnacentral:rRNA from 1 species
UGGGGAAUAUUGCACAAUGGGCGAAAGCCUGAUGCAGCAACGCCGCGUGAGUGAUGAAGGCCUUCGGGUUGUAAAGCUCUGUCUUUUGGGACGAUAAUGACGGUACCAAAGGAGGAAGCCACGGCUAACUACGUGCCAGCAGCCGCGGUAAUACGUAGGUGGCAAGCGUUGUCCGGAAUUACUGGGCGUAAAGAAUGCGUAGGUGGAUAUGCAAGUCAGAUGUGAAAUACCCGGGCUCAACUUGGGUGCGGCAUUUGAAACUAUAUAGCUAGAGUGCAGGAGAGGAAAGCGGAAUUCCUAGUGUAGCGGUGAAAUGCGUAGAGAUUAGGAAGCACACCAGUGGCGAAGGCGGCUUUCUGGACUGUAACUGACACUGAGGCAUGAAAGCGUGGGGAGCAAACA